AGCCAACAUUCUGCUAACUCCAUUGUACUGCUGUAAUUCCAUUGCUGCACUUGAAGAAGUAGGUUAUAACCUAUCAAAACUUAGGAUGUAUUAAAAUAUCUUUAAUUCACUACUGAAUUAAUACUUUACAUUUACACAAAAAGGCUUUUAAUUGUCAUACCAAAUCUUUUAUUGAUAUGUUUAGGUACUAACUGCUACCAGAUAUGAAAAAAUGAAGGAAAUGAUUAGUAAAGGCAGACGACAGAUACAAGAUGUGUAUAACAGAUCACUAUCCUGCGUGGAGCUCCAAGAACACUCUGUGACUUCAUCAGUGACUUGGAUCAGGGCAAGCUGUAUGUGUUUUUGUGCUUCCCUUGUGUGCCAGAAGUAUCCUUAGAGCACAUCCAUAUUGUUCUUUGUCUUCCAGACCUUACAUUUUACUUCAGUAUCCAUAAGCUUGGUAACUAUUGUUUUGUUGAGGUGACAUUUUGGAAAGAAUGCAUGGAUCCAUGAGUGAAUGUGUGUGUGGAGAUGAUGCCCAAUUCUGACCUCCAUUUGCUGAUAGCCCUUCUGCACAGGGGGCUAGAUCUUAGGGGCUAGUGAAGGCAAUUUCAGCAAAGUAGAAAGGUUUGCUCUUAAAUAUGUUACAGAAAUGACAGGGGGGCACAUCUUUAAAGAUAUUACAAUGUUACAAAUAUUAUGCCUGAAUGUAUCCUUUCAACUUGACAGCUCAGGGAAGAUACCGUGCUUUAGAAACUCAUGUAAAAUCAGUAGUUUGACCGAUUCUCUUCAUUCCAACGCCAUUUUAUCCUUAGAGAAAAGGACUCCUUUACCUUUCCUUCCCACCAUAAUCCAUCCACAACACCCCACCCAGGGAGUGCCCACAGGUGGCAAUCUCCGGGCUGAUAGCUGACCAUAAAAUCCCAAGAGAUCAUCCCCGGACUUGCCACAGGACAAGGAUAUGUAAAGCGUUCUAUUGUUCUUUGGUGAUAGGUACUUGAGAGGUGUUAAGAGAAUUGUCUGGACAUGUUUGCCAAGGCUGAACUAGUGUAACCCCUGGCUACCCGUCCCCUUUUGUGACAUGUCAGUGAUGCAAAGAUGAUGUAUCAGUGAUGCUGCACAAACUGUAUUCUGGGUGAUUGUGGGAAGUUUUAAAAGCCAAUGUCACCCCAUGCUUGGGGUUCUUACUCCUGUGGGGACCUGUUGCGCAACAAUAAAGAUAAUGGUCUACUGACCGCUGUUUUGCUCCAAA